rnacentral:rRNA from 1 species
AACGCUGGCGGCAUGCCUUACACAUGCAAGUCGAACGGCAGCACGGGGGCAACCCUGGUGGCGAGUGGCGGACGGGUGAGUAAAGCAUCGGAACGUAUCCUGGAGUGGGGGAUAACGUAGCGAAAGUUACGCUAAUACCGCAUAUUCUGUGAGCAGGAAAGCAGGGGAUCGCAAGACCUUGCGCUCUGGGAGCGGCCGAUGUCGGAUUAGCUAGUUGGUGGGGUAAAGGCCUACCAAGGCGACGAUCCGUAGCGGGUCUGAGAGGAUGAUCCGCCACACUGGGACUGAGACACGGCCCAGACUCCUACGGGAGGCAGCAGUGGGGAAUUUUGGACAAUGGGCGCAAGCCUGAUCCAGCCAUGCCGCGUGAGUGAAGAAGGCCUUCGGGUUGUAAAGCUCUUUCGGCGGGGAAGAAAUUGCACGGGUUAAUACCCUGUGUAGAUGACGGUACCCGAAUAAGAAGCACCGGCUAACUACGUGCCAGCAGCCGCGGUAAUACGUAGGCUGCGAGCGUUAAUCGGAAUUACUGGGCGUAAAGCGUGCGCAGGCGGUUUGGUAAGUCAGAUGUGAAAUCCCCGGGCUCAACCUGGGAACUGCAUUUGAGACUGCCAGGCUGGAGUUUGGCAGAGGGGGGUGGAAUUCCACGUGUAGCAGUGAAAUGCGUAGAGAUGUGGAGGAACACCGAUGGCGAAGGCAGCCCCCUGGGCCAAUACUGACGCUCAUGCACGAAAGCGUGGGGAGCAACAGGAUUAGAUACCCUGGUAGUCCACGCCCUAAACGAUGUCAACUAGGUGUUGGGAGGGUUAAACCUUUUAGUGCCGUAGCUAACGCGUGAAGUUGACCGCCUGGGGAGUACGGCCGCAAGGCUAAAACUCAAAGGAAUUGACGGGGACCCGCACAAGCGGUGGAUGAUGUGGAUUAAUUCGAUGCAACGCGAAAAACCUUACCUACCCUUGACAUGUCAGGAAUCCUGAAGAGAUUUGGGAGUGCUCGCAAGAGAGCCUGAACACAGGUGCUGCAUGGCUGUCGUCAGCUCGUGUCGUGAGAUGUUGGGUUAAGUCCCGCAACGAGCGCAACCCUUGUUAUUAAUUGCCAUCAUUUAGUUGGGCACUUUAAUGAGACUGCCGGUGACAAACCGGAGGAAGGUGGGGAUGACGUCAAGUCCUCAUGGCCCUUAUGGGUAGGGCUUCACACGUCAUACAAUGGUCGGUCCAGAGGGUUGCCAACCCGCGAGGGGGAGCCAAUCUCAGAAAGCCGAUCGUAGUCCGGAUCGCAGUCUGCAACUCGACUGCGUGAGGUCGGAAUCGCUAGUAAUCGCGGAUCAGCAUGUCGCGGUGAAUACGUUCCCGGGUCUUGUACACACCGCCCGUCACACCAUGGGAGCGGGUUCUGCCAGAAGUAGUUAGCCUAACCGCAAGGAGGGCGAUUACCACGGCAGGGUUCGUGACUGGGGUGAA